rnacentral:rRNA from 1 species
GAUUAGAGCUUGAUCCUGGCUCAGAACGUACGCUGGCGGCACGCCUAACACAUGCAAGUCGAACGCAGUAGCAAUACUGAGUGGCAAACGGGUGAGUAUAAUGUGGGAAUCUGCCUUUUGGUUUGGAAUAACACGGGGAAACUUGUGCUAAUACCGAAUAAGCCCUUACGGGGAAAGUUUUAAUGCCGAAAGAUGAGCCUGCACUUGAUUAGCUAGUUGGUAAGGUAAAAGCUUACCAAGGCAACGAUCAAUAGCUGUUCUUAGAGGAAGACCAGCCACAUUGGGACUGAGACACGGCCCAGACUCCUACGGGAGGCAGCAGUGGGGAAUCUUGCACAAUGGGGGAAACCCUGAUGCAGCGAUGCCGCGUGAGUGAAGAAGGCCCUUGGGUUGUAAAACUCUUUCGUCGGGGAAGAAAAUGACUGUACCCGAAUAAGAAGGUCCGGCUAACUUCGUGCCAGCAGCCGCGGUAAUACGAAGGGACCUAGCGUAGUUCGGAAUUACUGGGCUUAAAGAGCUCGUAGGUGGUUAAAAAAGUUGGUGGUGAAAUCCCAAGGCUCAACCUUGGNAACUGCCAUCAAAACUUUUUAGCUAGAGUGUGAUAGAGGUAAGUGGGAAUUUCUAGUGUAGAGGUGAAAUUCGUAGAUNUUAGAAAGAACACCAAAUGCGAAGGCAACUUACUGGGUCACUACUGACACUGAGGAGCGAAA